rnacentral:misc_RNA from 1 species
GAAAUGCGAUACUUGGUGUGAAUUGCAGAAUUCAGUGAAUCAUCGAAUCUUUGAACGCACAUUGCGCCCCUUGGUAUUCCAUGGGGCAUGCCUGUUCGAGCGUCAUUUGUACCCUCAAGCUUUGCUUGGUGUUGGGUGUUUGUCUUCCGCUGGGAGACUCGCCUUAAAACAAUUGGCAGCCGGCAUAUUGGUAUCGGAGCGCAGCACAAGUCGCGCUUCUUUCCAUGAAUGUCAGCGUCCAUCAAGACCAUUUUUCACUCUUGACCUCGGAUCAGGUAGGGAUACCCGCUGAACUUAA